rnacentral:rRNA from 1 species
AUUGAACGCUGGCGGCAUGCCUUACACAUGCAAGUCGUACGGUAACAGGUCUUCGGACGCUGACGAGUGGCGAACGGGUGAGUAAUACAUCGGAACGUGCCCAGUCGUGGGGGAUAACUACUCGAAAGAGUAGCUAAUACCGCAUACGAUCUGAGGAUGAAAGCGGGGGGCCUUCGGGCCUCGCGCGAUUGGAGCGGCCGAUGGCAGAUUAGGUAGGUGGGGGGAUAAAAGCUUACCAAGCCGACGAUCUGUAGCUGGUCUGAGAGGACGACCAGCCACACGGGGACUGAGACACGGCCCAGACUCCUACGGGAGGCAGCAGUGGGGAAUUUUGGACAAUGGGCGAAAGCCUGACCCAGCAAUGCCGCGUGCAGGAUGAAGGCCUUCGGGUUGUAAACUGCUUUUGUACGGAACGAAAAAGUCUCCUCUAAUACAGGAGGCCCAUGACGGUACCGUAAGAAUAAGCACCGGCUAACUACGUGCCAGCCGCCGCCGUAA